rnacentral:rRNA from 1 species
UACGUAGGGUGCAAGCGUUGUCCGGAAUUAUUGGGCGUAAAGAGCUCGUAGGCGGUUUGUCGCGUCGGCUGUGAAAACUCGGGGCUCAACCCCGAGCCUGCAGUCGAUACGGGCAAACUUGAGUGCGGUAGGGGAGACUGGAAUUCCCGGUGUAGCGGUGAAAUGCGCAGAUAUCGGGAAGAACACCCGUGGCGAAGGCGGCACUCUGGGACGGUACUGACGCUGAGACGCGAAAGCGUGGGGAGCGAACAGG